rnacentral:rRNA from 1 species
AGUGAACGCUGGCGGUAGGCCUAACACAUGCAAGUCGAACGGCAGCACAGUAAGAUCUUGCUCUUACGGGUGGCGAGUGGCGGACGGGUGAGGAAUACAUCGGAAUCUACUUUUUCGUGGGGGAUCACGUAGGGAAACUUACGCUAAUACCGCAUACGACCUACGGGUGAAAGCAGGGGAUCUUCGGACCUUGCGCGAUUGCAUGAGCCGAUGUCGGAUUAGCUAGUUGGCGGGGUAAAGGCCCACCAAGGCGACGAUCCGUAGCUGGUCUGAGAGGAUGAUCAGCCACACUGGAAAUGAGACACGGUCCAGACUCCUACGGGAGGCAGCAGUGGGGAAUAUUGGACAAAGGGCGCAAGCCUGAUCCAGCCAUACCGCGUGGGUGAAGAAGGCCUUCGGGUUGUAAAGCCCUUUUGUUGGGAAAGAAAAGCAGCAGGUUAAUACCCCGCUGUUCUGACGGUACCCAAAGAAUAAGCACCGGCUAACUUCGUG